rnacentral:rRNA from 1 species
UGGGGAAUCUUCCGCAAUGGACGGAAGUCUGACGGAGCAACGCCGCGUGUAUGAUGAAGGUCUUCGGAUUGUAAAGUACUGUCAUUGGGGAAGAACGGUUUUCUUGAAAAGAUUGAGAAGACAUGACGGUACCCAAGGAGGAAGCCCCGGCUAACUACGUGCCAGCAGCCGCGGUAAUACGUAGGGGGCAAGCGUUGUCCGGAAUUAUUGGGCGUAAAGGGCGCGUAGGCGGGCCUUUAAGUCCGGUGUGAAAGAUCAGGGCUCAACCCUGAGAGUGCAUCGGAAACUGGAGGCCUUGAGGACAGGAGAGNAAAGUGGAAUUCCACGUGUAGCGGUGAAAUGCGUAGAUAUGUGGAGGAACACCAGUGGCGAAGGCGACUUUCUGGACUGUAACUGACGCUGAGGCGCGAAAGCGUGGGGAGCAAACA